UGGGGAAUAUUGGACAAUGGGCGAAAGCCUGAUCCAGCCAUGCCGCGUGUGUGAAGAAGGCCUUUUGGUUGUAAAGCACUUUAAGCGAGGAGGAGGCUACUAGUACUAAUACUACUGGAUAGUGGACGUUACUCGCAGAAUAAGCACCGGCUAACUCUGUGCCAGCAGCCGCGGUAAUACAGAGGGUGCGAGCGUUAAUCGGAUUUACUGGGCGUAAAGCGUGCGUAGGCGGCUGAUUAAGUCGGAUGUGAAAUCCCUGAGCUUAACUUAGGAAUUGCAUUCGAUACUGGUCAGCUAGAGUAUGGGAGAGGAUGGUAGAAUUUCCUGUGUAGCGGUGAAAUGCGUAGAUAUAGGAAGGAACACCAGUGGCGAAGGCGACCACCUGGGCUCAUACUGACACUGAGGUGCGAAAGCGUGGGGAGCAAACAGG
rnacentral:rRNA from 1 species